GAAGCAACAUCCCAACAAUAAGUAAAUCGGAUCCCACCAAAAUGGUGCGAUCCCAGUGAGAAAGGAAAAUUGUGAGACGCGACUGAGAAAAGUUAUCGGGCUUUCUCAGGCCUGAACUCAAGAUUCUCCUUCUUCCUUCAGCCAAGCAUUCCAACGGUUGUAUCUCUGGCGAUUUCUUUGGUGAUAUCAAGCAAAGGUCCAAUCUGGAAGUUGUUUUAACUGCAGCCUUUAAUGCUAUUUUUCCUUGAAAGAAUGCUAAAACUAGAUUGAGUUCACAACAGUACAUCAUCCGUGUAUUUCUUAAUGCUGCAAAAUUUUCCUUCAGCAGUACCAUCAUUCCGGCUAACCUCUGCAAGAGAGAGUCCACAAUGUCAAGAUUAUGUAAUUCCUAUCAUCCAGAUCAUCAUUCAGAUAUUUUGAAGUUGGAUGAUGGAGAAACAACAUUUAGGCUUUGAUAUCUUUGAAAUUUACAAGUUUAAUGGCAUCUAAUUCUGCUUUUGAAUUUUUUGAUUGUUUUAGUUUAAGAGGAGGAACUAGCCUAAUUAUAAAAUUAAUUGAAGCAUGGACUUUUCAUAGA